AUGGCCUCGGCUACUUCGGUAGGCGACGAUGGCCAGGGCGAUGCGAGCGGCGGCGACCUCCCCCGCUUAGGCCUCGAUGGGAGUGGUUGCUACUCCAACUCGGAGUACAGUAGCAAGGACGAAGAUUUUGCGGAGCCGGCGUUGUCGAUGGAGCAGAGGCUGAAGAUGGCGCGAAUUUGGUUGGCCAACCCUAGCACCGCCCAUCAGUGGACUCAUGGCAUCGGUGGUGUUCUUUUGUAUGAUGACAUUUUGGAUGUUAGGUUCUAUUUUGAUGCUUCAGAAAUGUUUGAGUUGAAGCUCUGCAGUUCAGAUGUAACAUACCUGAAUAUGAUUGCAGUGAUGGAAACCCAAGGAUUUAGUGAAUAUGAUCUACUGUUUCACAUUGAGAAUCCACAAUUAGGGGAGAAAGGAUUGGAGAUGGUAGAGUGUAAUGCUGAGUUGCAAUUAGUAAAGAAGCAGGUUGAGGAGUCUAAGGUCUUAAAUUUGCUAGUGAGGGCAUGUCCACCUCCUUGCAGCCAGUUUGAGAGGCAAGAAUUAUCCACUGUUGUGUAUGAAGAGCAUGUGUUAUAUGAUCUCAGUGAGGCACCCAUCUAUGUUGUUAAUGAAGAAGGAGUUGCAUUUGAAAGUCAGAGUAGUAGCUACAGUGUAGCUCAUGGUGAAGAGGACAUUGAUGUACCACCUUUUUAUAUGGGUGAUGUUGAUGACAUAGAGAUGGCUGAGGGAAAGAAACAUAAAGAGUAUGAUGAAAUGGAAGAGGAAGAAACAGAUGAUGAAGAAUCUGAGGAGGAAGAAGUUGUGCAUUAUGAGGGUGACACAGAGGUUGAGGAACCUUUUCAAAUGGAUGAAGAUGACAAAGUUGUUUCACAGGAUGUAGAAACUGUAAUUGUACAUGAAGAGAAGAAGAAGAAGAAACAGAAGCUUCCAGUUAGGAGAGGGCCUACAACAAGGUCACAUUCAAGUGUAGUAUUAGAGGAGGAACCUGAUUUCAAACCUUCAUCUGAUGAAGAAGAGAAAGGAUUGUUGAAGGAGGCUGAUGAUGAUGGUUUUGAGCCAUUGUCAUUUGUGCUGCCAAAGAAAAGGAAAAGCAGGGCAAAGCAGAGGCCUCCUAGAAAAUGAGAGGCUUUGUUGAACCUACACAUCACUCAAGAAAGAAACUUCAGAUAUCAUAGGAACUCAGAUCAAAGAAUAAUUGUAGAAUGCAACCAAAAAAAUUGCAACUUCUUUAUGGUGGCAGCAAUUAUAAAAGGUGAAACUACUUUUGUAAUUAAGAAGAUGAGAAUUAAGCACACUUGCCCUACUAGUACAGAGACAACAAGGGUAAGUGCCAAGUGGCUUGCACAGAAGUAUGAGUCAGUGUUCAGAUCUGAUCUAACAACUGGCAUUCAAACUUUGAUUGAUGCUUGCAUGGAGAAGUAUGGUGUGGAUGUGCCCAAGUCAAUGGCAUAUAGAGCAAAGAACAUAGCUAUUGAUGUUGUGCUAGGAGACCACAAGAAACAAUACCCUAGGUUGUCCAAGAUUCCAUGCUAUGUUCUAUUGCAUCAAUGGAGCAAGGGAGGGGUUUCUCAAGGGGUGCAGACCAUUCAUUGGCAUAUCUAUGCAAACUUCCAAAAUGCUGGGUUUAGGGGGGAAGAUCUGAAGAAGUGUAUGGAUAAUGCUGCCUAUGCAUAUAGUGACCACAAAUUUAACAUUGCAAUGAAUGACCUUAGAGCUGAAUGUCAGGAAGCUUGGGAGUGGCUUUGUCAAAUACCCAAGAAAACAUGGGCAAGGCAUGCAUUUGACACAAACUGCAAGACUGACCUUGUAGUUAACAAUUUGUCUGAGGUGUUCAACAAGUAUGUCCUAGAUGUUAGGAAGAAACCAAUUAGGACAAUGUGUGAUGGAAUAAAAGAUAAACAGAUGAUGAGGUGGCAUAGGAAUAGGGAGAGUGCAAAGACAGCUAGAUGGGACAUAACACCCCAUUAUAGUGAGAAGCUAGAGGUUGAGAAGGAGAGGGCCAAAUAUUGCAAACCAAUUCAAGCUGGUGUGAACUUGUGGCAGGUUACAAGUGGGCAGCAAACCCAUGCUGUUGACUUGCAAGUGCACACAUGUGGGUGCAGAAAAUGGGACCUCAGUGACAUCCCAUGUAACCAUGCCAUCUCAGCAAUCAACAAGGGCAAAAGAAAACCAGAGGAUUAUGUCAGCAAGUUCUUCAAGAAAGAAUUUUAUGUGGCAGCUUAUGAACCAAUGAUCUAUCCAGUUCCUGGUGAGCAUGACUGGACAAAGACCCCUGGUCCAGACAUUGACCCACCUGCAUUUAAAGUGAAGAGAGGAAGAAAGAAAGAGAAGAGGAUCAAGGGGAAAUUUAAAGUUCCAAAGCCUAAGGACACAUCAAGAAUGGGGACUAUAACAUGUGGCAAUUGUGGACUGCAAGGACAUAGGUACACAAGCUGCCUCAAGCAGUUGAAGCCUGAGCUGGCUUUGAGGAAGAACAAACAUGUGCCUCUUGCAAGGAAUUCCAAUGGUGGUGGUGCUGCUACUACACCAGCAACAACAACCUCUCAUGCAGCUCCUACAACAACACCAACAGCUGGGAGAGGAGCUGGGAGAGGAGCUGGGAGAGGAGCUGGGAGAGGUGCUGCAGCAGCUCAAGCUGCUGGAAGAGGUGCCGUGAGAGGUGCUGCACCAGGUGCUGCAAGAGGUGUUGGGAGAGGGAGAGGUGCAUUCUCUGCCCCAAGACAAUCUGGUCCCUCCACAUCUACUGCUCCCUCCACAUCUGUUGCUGGGAGAGGUGCUGGUGGUAGACAUACUGGAUGGGGGAGGUACUUCUAUGCAAGUGGUAACUAG
rnacentral:rRNA from 1 species